GAGUUUGAUCGUGGCUCAGAUUGAACGCUGGCGGCAGGCCUAACACAUGCAAGUCGGGCGGUAGAGAGAAGCUUGCUUCUCUUGAGAGCGGCGGACGGGUGAGUAAUGCCUAGGAAUCUGCCUGGUAGUGGGGGAUAACGCUCGGAAACGGACGCUAAUACCGCAUACGUCCUACGGGAGAAAGCAGGGGACCCUUCGGGCCUUGCGCUAUCAGAUGAGCCUAGGUCGGAUUAGCUAGUUGGUGAGGUAAUGGCUCACCAACGGCGACGAUACCGUAACUGGUCUGAGAGGAUGAUCAGUCACACUGGAACUGAGACACGGUCCAGACUCCUACGGGAGGCAGCAGUGGGGAAUAUUGGACAAUGGGCGAAAGCCUGAUCCAGCCAUGCCGCGUGUGUGAAGAAGGUCUUCGGAUUGUAAAGCACUUUAAGUUGGG
rnacentral:rRNA from 1 species